AGCCGGGAGCCGCCUCCCUCCGGGCCCCGCCCGCCUCGCGGGUAGAGCGGCUGGCCGCGCGCGGGGCUCUGCGCGCCUCAGGGCGUUCCGCGGGCGGAGCUUAGGUUCGGUGUAACGAGAGCUCAAAAAUACAGCAGGUCUUUUUCGAUUUCACAUAUGGUUAUAUCAAGACUGAUAAUGUGAUGGAAGAAGCAAAAAUGGGAAGAGACUGAGGAAACUGCAGUGAAGUUAUUUCUGUAGAUCAGAGCUUCUCAAACUGCAGAAGACGGCGUGUUCCUUUCCCCUGAAGACAUCAUAUGUUAACUCAAGCUUUCAACUUUAUGGAGGAUGGGGAGAAAAGGUCAUAGAAAUUAUUAGCCAAAGUGACCUUUCUGAUUAAAACUCAUCUGACGGGAAGGGAAGCUUUACUGCAAAAUUGUCCGUCAGAAUAAUUACAUUUGGAGGGGUUGCUAAUUAUAACCAAAAUUACUUUAGACAGUUUGGGGAAGAGACUGAGGCUUUGCUGCUUAGCAUAAAGCAGUUUUAUUUACACAUUCACAAAGUAGCUUACAUCACUACAGGAUUAGAUUAAUUGCAAUAUUUCCCUGCAAAUUGUUGUGGAAAUGGUGUCAUGCAAUGGUGAAUCAGAACUGGUAAUUCCAAAAAUAGCAUUUCUCUCUCUGUUUCUUAAGCAGAAUGGAAAAAGUCCAUUUCUGCAGAUCAGGCCUGUCCAGCAACAUUCAUUUCUACCUUCAGUUUGCUCAAGUGAGUUUCUCAAGAUUGGGUUUUGAUAUUGUUUUGCCUAAGUGAGUUUUGCUAACAUAGCUUAUUGUUUAGUAGAAGAGUUUUCUCCAUGCUAAGAUGGCCUAAUGAGGGAGAAUUAAAAAACUCCAUUGCAUAUGUAUGUUACACAUAACAGGAAAGUUAACUCUAUUAGAGCCAAAAAUGGUGAAUCUCAAAUCGCACUAGUAUGAUAAUUGUUUUAAAAAUGGAGAAACAGAGGCACAAAGAGGUUAACUAACUUGCCUCAGAUUGCCUGCAACACAAAGUAGGAGAUAAGAAUUAUUUACUUGCUGUGGUGGUUUCACUCUGAUGGGCAGCUGAACUACACCACAACUGCUCUCUCACUCCCCCUCUUCAAAAAAGAUGAUGAAAAAACGCGAUGAAAAAGAUUUCAAGGUUGGAGAUAAGGACAGGAAGAUCCCUCACCAAUUACUGUCAUGAGCAAAACAGACCCAAGGAGGUUAAUAUAAUUUAUUUCCUAUUACAGACAGGGCAGUGAGAAACUAAAAGCAAACUAAAAACACCUUUCUCCCUCAUCUACCCUGUUCAACCUCCUCUCUGAGCAGAGCAGGGGAAUGGGGGUUGCUGUCAGUCUGCAACGCUUCUUUCCUGCUGCUCCUUCGUGGUCACUCUCUGUCCCUGUUCCAGCAUGGGGUCCAUGCUGUCCUUCCCAAACUGAUCCUGUGUGGGCUUUCCACAGGCUGCAGCUCUUCAAGAGCUGCCUGGAGCACCUCCUGCCCUCCUUCUCCACUGACCUGCGUGCCUGCACAGCUGUUUAGUUUUCUCAUUCUGUUCUCCCCAGCUGCUGUUGCACAGUAGUGUUUUUUCCCCUAAAUCUGCUCUCCCAGAGGCACACCAGCAUCGCUCGUUGGCUCAGCUCUGGGCAGUGGUGUGUCCCUUUAGGAGCUGGCUCUGAUCUGACAUGGGGCAGCUCCUGGGCUCUUCUCACAAAGGGCAUCCCUGCCAGCCCCCCGCUACCAAAACCUUGCCACAUAAGUCCAAUACGCUUGCAUUUUAUUUUCCGACACAAAUAUAACAUCCUGUAUGAAAGUAAUGGCUAUUCUGGUUACAUGGGAUAGCCUGUAUCCAGUUCUUCCAUUCUAAAGUCCAUUUGUGCUGUAGAGAAUAUGUAGGGAUUGUGAAUGUACCCGUAAGUACCAUUCCACAGUUGAACUAAUUGCCAGGCCAAGCAAGGGACCACAGUAAAUGGGUGAAUAAUUUGAUCCAAGAUGGAUUUGUACUCUACCACAUAGCCUGAAAUCUUCUAAUGCUUUGGGAUUUGACUGUGAGCUGUUCAUUGUUGUUUGAGCCUGUUAUUUUCUAUUACCAUAUUCUCUCUGGAUAUCAUUUGUGUACCUUAUCUUUGUAUAAAAGGCCACAUCUAUACCAUAUUUCUGGGGAGCAGUCAGUAGAAGCAUACAGAAUUUACUGCUGUAGACCAAAAUAUGACAGAUAAAGGUAGUGCAUUACAAAGUUCUUGCCCUCAAUCAUGCAGAAGGUUGUCUAUGCUUCUGUGAGCAGGUACAUAUGUGACUACCGUGUAAGGGGAGAAGGGUUAAUGGCAAACUAAGACAUUUUCUGCAGCAAAAGCAGAGGGAAUCUUCACUAAGCAAUUACCUUUUAUGUAAUAAACAAUGCCAUGUGUUUAGUGGUCAAUAAAGGGAGUUUUCUUGCCCUAAUCCCUUUCCAUUUAACUUAAAAUAGAAAUGCUAUUAGUUUGACUAGCAGGCUGGUGUAUUGUGAAGCCUGACCAUAGAUGUUUGGGUGUUGAAUUUACGCUGCUAGCAGAGGUGUUACUGCUGCAGCCUUUGUCUUUCCUUUCAUUGAAUAAAAUACAGUAAAAAAACUUAGGCUUGAACUUCAGUGUUGUUAGGUGCAUUUGGCAGACUUGUCUAUUUAUAUACUGCAGUUUCUUUUCAAUACAGAGUACGUUGCUUCUUAUUAGACAAUUUUAGCUUCUUUUGACUGAAAAUUGAGCUCUAAUUACUAAUGAAUGCUUUCUAAAAUAAUUUAAUCUUGAUAAAGAACAUGCAUAACGUAAUUGUUAAAUAUCUACUGGCAAGAUAGAUAGCUUGUGUUUUAACUAACCCUUAAAGGAGGUCAAGGUUUGAUAACUCACGAGAAAUGGCAAAAGCCAUGAUACGUGAUUAAAGUAAUUAAGAAUUUAAAGAUUAUGACAGAGUAUCUGUGUUUCUUUGUAGAAGCUUUGACUUUCAAGGCUUGUGAUUUUCCUCAUGAUAUGCUGAAUUUUUUGGUACAGAACAGCAACACAAAUGAAUAUUCCAUAGCUGAGAAGUCUCCAUGUUAGUUACAGGAUACAGAAAAGGCCAGAGCAUCAAGGCAGCACGCUCAUAGUUGUUUCUGUGCUACAAAUAAGCUGUGUCCAUCUCCCGUUCUUUCUAGUGAAAUGCAGAUACUGACAU